ensembl:lncRNA
AUGGACUUGAGCUUGAACCCUCCUGAACUCAUGUACACAUUUGGAGUACUGAAGAAGUUAUUUCUGGAGCCAGUUCCUGUUCCUGGAAUAAGGUUCUUUCCAUGUGGGUUUGGAAAUCGAUUCGUUCCACGUGACGAUCUACUGAGCGCGCGCACAUUUGUUCUCUUCUCGGGGUUCGGCGGGAACAGGACGGACUGGACCUACAGAAACAUCGUCUGAUGGAGUGGAUUAACUUGGAAAGCGGGAGAGAAAUGGUUUGUUCAUCCUGACCAUAGUUGCUCACUUCCAGUUAACGUUAGGAAAACACCUUCUUCUCUGAGUUUGUUUGUUUGUUUAUUUAAUGCAUUGAUUAUAUAAUAUAAAUGUAUACCACUGUUAUGUAAUAAUAUCAUAUGUAAUAAAGUUUCUGAAAAUGUAAGAGAUGCA